rnacentral:lncRNA from 1 species
UAAGUUGGGGCCUGGGGGGCUGGGCUCGGGGAAGAAGGGGUGGCAGGGUGCAGGCACACUUGCUGCUGUGGGGUCUGAUCUGUUUCUCACUCUGCCCCACACCCACUGGGGAGGGGUUACUGCUUUCCCUCCCUGGGCCUCAGUUUCCCCUCUGUGGGGAAAUGUUUUCUCCACAGUACCCUGUUAGCACACAGUAGGCCCUCAGGAUGCACUUGCUGGGUGGAUUUCUCCGAUGGGUGAUGGAGGAAGGGUCUGUCACUGCAGCUGCCUGUGGGAUCCUGAGUGGGGCUCUAGCUUUUCUGGGGUUGGGGCUCCAGGUGUGAAGUCAGGCAUAGACCCAGAAGGCUCUCUGUGUUCCCAGGGGAAAGGGACAGGCGGCUCCCAGGUAGGCUCCAGGAGAAGACUGCGGGGAAGCUGGUGGGUGGUGUGUGGGUGCUCAUGGCUGCCCUGCCCUGCCCAGGCCGAGCAGGAGCUCCGCGUGGCCCAGACAGAGUUUGACCGGCAAGCAGAAGUGACCCGUCUCUUGCUGGAGGGAAUCAGUAGCACUCAUGUGAGUCCCCCUGCCCACCCUCACUAAAGCCCAACCCUCAGCAGGCACCAGGUGUGCCUGAACCACAAAGUCAGCAGGGCUGCCCCCGAAUGGCCCUCACAGAGCAAGUCCCACCGGGGAGGGUGUGGGCGCAGGGGCAGGGCACCCUGGAAUGCCGGAGCAAGGUCUGGUAGAGGACGGGAAUGGGGACGGAAUUUUUUGCUGGACUUGCAGAAGCAGCUGGGCAGGUGCGGGGCCAGCACUGCUGAGCCCACUGGGGCCCCCUGGCUCCCAUACCCUGUCCGUGGGCAGCAUGAGCUCCUCUGGGCAAGUCCUGUGACACAAAGCCGGGUUGGAGGGCUCUGCCGGAACCCACUCUGGGCCCGGGCAUCUCAUGUGUAUGAGGGUGGAGUGGCUGGCCUUACUGAUGGCCGAGUCCCCUGGAGCCCCUGAGGGUUUCUAGGGAAUGCCUGGGUGGGGAGGAUGGCAGGGACCAGGAGGUGGGGCCAUCUCACCCUUCCUUCCCUUGCUUUGCUUUUCCCUUUGUGCUGCCAGCUCCCAGGGUGCCGUGUGAGUAGCCGGGGCUGGAGUGGGGCUCCUGGGGCUGGGGAGGGGAGUUUGCCUCUGGGGUCCCUUCUGGGACUCCCACCUGCUAAGAUGUAUCCCUACUCUCCAGAUUUCCAGGCACCUUCGUGGGCACCACAGAGCCCGCCUCCCCACCCCUGAGCAGCACCUCACCCACCACUGCUGCGGCCACUAUGCCUGUGGUGCCCUCUGUGGCCAGCCUGGCCCCUCCGGGGGAGGCCUCGCUCUGCCUGGAAGAGGUGGCCCCCCCUGCCAGUGGGACCCGCAAAGCUCGGGUGCUCUAUGACUACGAGGCAGCCGACAGCAGUGAGCUGGCCCUGCUGGCUGAUGAGGUGGGCCCGGUGCCACAAGGUGGGGCAGGAAUGGGCUGGGUGAGGAGCAGCCUGGGCGCUGGGAUCAGGCACAUGGGGCCUGGAGGGGCCCUGUUGGCAAAGUGGGGACCAGCAGGUUAAAGAGGGCAUAUCCAGCUCUGAGGAAAGGAUCCUUGCUCUGCUGGGUCUCUGUGGAGCAAGUGAGAUGAGCGCCAGCCACUGAAGGUGUAGCACAUGCCACGGGCCAUGGGGAGGUGGCAGCUCUGUCCCCACUUAGUCCUGGGGCCAGUUCCACCCUUGGCCAGGCCAUGACCGUCCUCUACUGCCAUCUCUGCAGCUCAUCACUGUCUACAGCCUGCCUGGCAUGGACCCUGACUGGCUCAUUGGCGAGAGAGGCAACAAGAAGGGCAAGGUCCCUGUCACCUACUUGGAACUGCUCAGCUAGGCAGGUGCCCCCAUCCCCCCGCAUUCUGGCCUAGGCAGGAAAGGAUGGGCACAGCCCUGCCACUUAACUUGUUUGUUGGUGACACAGCUGUUCAGAGUGGGGAGAAUUCACCCCAUUCUGUCCCUGCCCCCAGUUACCUAGCUGUGAGGUUGCCUGAGGCUGAAUGGCUCCACCCCUCCCCCAGCCCUGCUUCUGACCUGUGGCUCUGGAGCCCCUGCCCCUGCCUGCAUCCCCGAGCACCCCACCCUCCCGGCUCCGCUAAGGAGGGAGGUGCUGUCUGCAGCAGCUGCACUCAGCACCUAGGCCAGGGUGGGGCCGCCGCAGAUGGGCUCAGGAAGCCCCAGGUGCACUC